rnacentral:rRNA from 1 species
AUUGAACGCUGGCGGCAUGCUUUACACAUGCAAGUCGAACGGUAACAGGCCUUCGGGCGCUGACGAGUGGCGAACGGGUGAGUAAUGCAUCGGAACGUGCCCAGUCGUGGGGGAUAACGCAGCGAAAGCUGUGCUAAUACCGCAUACGAUCUGUGGAUGAAAGCGGGGGACCUUCGGGCCUCGCGCGAUUGGAGCGGCCGAUGUCAGAUUAGGUAGUUGGUGGGGUAAAGGCUCACCAAGCCAACGAUCUGUAGCUGGUCUGAGAGGACGACCAGCCACACUGGGACUGAGACACGGCCCAGACUCCUACGGGAGGCAGCAGUGGGGAAUUUUGGACAAUGGGCGCAAGCCUGAUCCAGCAAUGCCGCGUGCAGGAAGAAGGCCUUCGGGUUGUAAACUGCUUUUGUACGGAGCGAAACGGUCCUGGUUAAUACCUGGGGCUAAUGACGGUACCGUAAGAAUAAGCACCGGCUAACUACGUGCCAGCCGCCGCCGUAAUAC